CGCCUGGGGAGUACGGCGCGCAAGGUUAAAACUCAAAUGAAUUGACGGGGGCCCGCACAAGCGGUGGAGCAUGUGGUUUAAUUCGACGCAACGCGAAGAACCUUACCUGGCCUUGACAUGCAGAGAACUUUCCAGAGAUGGAUUGGUGCCUUCGGGAACUCUGACACAGGUGCUGCAUGGCCGUCGUCAGCUCGUGUCGUGAGAUGUUGGGUUAAGUCCCGUAACGAGCGCAACCCCUAUCCCUAGUUGCUAGCAGUUCGGCUGAGAACUCUAGGGAGACUGCCGGUGACAAACCGGAGGAAGGUGGGGAUGACGUCAGGUCAUCAUGGCCCUUACGGCCAGGGCUACACACGUGCUACAAUGGUGCGCACAGAGGGCUGCAAACCCGCGAGGGGGAGCCAAUCUCACAAAACGCAUCGUAGUCCGGAUCGCAGUCUGCAACUCGACUGCGUGAAGUCGGAAUCGCUAGUAAUCGUGAAUCAGAAUGUCACGGUGAAUACGUUCCCGGGCCUUGUACACACCGCCCGUCACACCAUGGGAGUGGAUUGCACCAGAAGUGGUUAGUCUAACCUUCGGGAGGACGAUCACCACGGUGUGGUUCAUGACUGGGGUGAAGUCGUAACAAGGGUAACCGUA
rnacentral:rRNA from 1 species